rnacentral:rRNA from 1 species
GAUGAACGCUGGCGGCGUGCCUAAUACAUGCAAGUCGAGCGAACAGACGAGGAGCUUGCUCCUCUGACGUUAGCGGCGGACGGGUGAGUAACACGUGGAUAACCUACCUAUAAGACUGGGAUAACUUCGGGAAACCGGAGCUAAUACCGGAUAAUAUAUUGAACCGCAUGGUUCAAUAGUGAAAGACGGUUUUGCUGUCACUUAUAGAUGGAUCCGCGCCGCAUUAGCUAGUUGGUAAGGUAACGGCUUACCAAGGCAACGAUGCGUAGCCGACCUGAGAGGGGGAUCGGCCACACGGGAACUGAGACACGGUCCAGACUCCUACGGGAGGCAGCAGUAGGGAAUCUUCCGCAAUGGGCGAAAGCCUGACGGAGCAACGCCGCGUGAGUGAUGAAGGUCUUCGGAUCGUAAAACUCUGUUAUUAGGGAAGAACAAUUGUGUAAGUAACUAUGCACGUCUUGACGGUACCUAAUCAGAAAGCCACGGCUAACUACGUG